AGGGAUGUAGUUCAGUGGUAGAAUACUUGCCUAAUAUGCACAAGGCCCUAGGUUCAAUUCCCAGCAUUGCAA
rnacentral:tRNA from 1 species